GUUGGGGGGGAGGAAACGUUAGCAGGUUGGGGGGGGAGGAAACGUUAGCAGGUUGGGGGGGGAGGAAACGUUAGCAGGUUGGGGGGGAGGAAACGUUAGCAUAACAUUGCUCACUUAAAAACAACCACAGCCCUGUCAUAAUCUUCUUCUUCCUGUCUGGAACCCGGUCGGCGUGGUAACGCGUUGUGUGGUAACCGCGGUGAUUAGGCUGACGAUGUCGGAGAUUGUCAUGGCAACGUGAGGGCUGGCGAUAGGGUGGAGUGGAGGGAUGGAGGAGCGAGAGAGGAGAAAAUAGAUGGAGAUACUGUAAAUAAAGGGAGAGAAAAUAGAGGGAGGAGAGAAGAGAGAGAAUAGUGAGGGAGGAGAGAGAAUACUGAGGGAGGAGAGAGAGAAUAGUGAGGGAGGAGAGAAGAGAGAGAAUAGUGAGGGAGGAGAGAGAAUACUGAGGGAGGAGAGAGAGAAUAGUGAGGGAGGAGAGAGAGAAUAGUGAGGGAGGAGAGAGAGAAUAGUGAGGGAGGAGAGAGAGAGAAUAGUGAGGGAGGAGAGAGAGAAUACUGAGGGAGGAGAGAGAGAAUAGUGAGGGAGGAGAGAGAGAGAAUAGUGAGGGAGGAGAGAGAGAAUAGUGAGGGAGGAGAGAGAGAAUAGUGAGGGAGGACAGAGAGAAUAGUGAGGGAGGAGAGAGAGAGUAGUGAGGGAGGAGAGGGGGAAUAGUGAUGGAGGAGAGAGAGAAUAGUGAGGGAGGAGAGAGAGAAUAGUGAGGGAGGAGAGAGAGAAUAGUGAGGGAGGAGUGAGAGAAUAGUGAGGGAGGAGAGAGAGAAUAGUGAGGGAGGAGAGAGAGAAUAGUGAGGGAGGAGAGAGAGAAUAGUGAGGGAGGAGAGAGAGAGAAUAGUGAGAGAGGAGAGAGAGAAUAGUGAGGGAGGAGAGAGAGAAUAGUGAGGGAGGAGAGAGAAUAGUGAGGGAGGAGAGAGAAUACUGAGGGAGGAGAGAGAGAAUAGUGAGGGAGGAGAGAGAAUAAAUAGUGAGGGAGGAGAGAGAGAGAGAAUAGUGAGGGAGGAGAGAGAGAAUAGUGAGGGAGGAGAGAGAGAAUACUGAGGGAGGAGAGAGAAUACUGAGGGAGGAGAGAGAAUAGUGAGGGAGGAGAGAGAGAAUAGUGAGGGAGGAGAGAGAGAAUAGUGAGGGAGGAGAGAGAGAAUAGUGAGGGAGGAGAGAGAGAAUAGUGAGGGAGGAGAGAGAGAGAAUAGUGAGGGAGGAGAGAGAGAAUAGUGAGGGAGGAGAGAGAGAAUAGUGAGGGAGGAGAGAGAGAAUAG
rnacentral:lncRNA from 1 species